AUAAUUUUCAUCUCUCAUCUCCCCCUGCUUACACUCCAAUUUGGGGUGUGAGAAAAAUUAGGAUUUGAGGGAUAAGGGAGAGUAAGCCUUACUCUUACUUACUCUUACCCUUCAUUAGUCCACCCCCUUUUCAAACAGGGUAUAAUAAUUACUUAUAUCUCAUUGUCUUUAUUUACCCUUCCCUCACCCCCAUCUAAACAGAGCCUUAGGUAAUAGAGGGAGAAUGAUUCGACUCUUAAAGUAUUCUCUAUGGUUAUGGGUUUCCUUUUGUUGAUCCUCUCUGGUUUAGCCAUGUCUAGGCUUGUGUUUUGCUUUGGUUGUCCUAUGUAGUGUUGUUGAUGACGUGAGUUUGCCUAUGGGCUGCUUGUGAAGGUCUGCUAGUGAUACUGCGUGGUAUAGCUUCAGUGGAGAGGUCUAGGGACCAAUUAUUUCCGGAGAUUUCUCUCUCGCAUCUCUGCUGUUUUUAUGGGCUGGCUUUAUUACCAUGGAUUUUAGGUUUUUUGGAUUGUAUUUGUUGUUUUGGACUUUACUUUUUAGCCUCCCCUUGUAGUCCCUCAAAAUUUAAUGAAAUUUUUAUUUCAUUUAAAAAAACAAAAAUCAAAUCUUAAGUAAAUUUUUUCUAAUCUUCGUCUGCUUGUCUGGGUAAGAAACUCAAUACCUAUAUCUG
rnacentral:misc_RNA from 1 species